rnacentral:lncRNA from 1 species
AAGAAAGAAACAUAUCGCAGAUCAAUCACAGUAUCGCACAUAAGAAGCAAAAAAUAGAAACUUGAAGAUGGAAGAAUGAAUUUUGAAAAUAAGAGAAGACGGAGAUCGUAAUCGCAGUAUCACACAGAAGAAGCAAAAAAUAGAAACUUGAAGAUGGAAGAAUGAAUUUUGAGAGAAGAUGGAGAUCGUAAUCGCGCACAUAAGAAGCAAAAAAUAGAAACUUGAAGAUGGAAGAAUGAAUUUUGAAAAUAAGAGAAAAUGAAGCAUGGAGAAGAUGGAGCAUGGUUGUUGUUGUUGAUGGGAUGAGAACGAGAAAUAAGCAGAAAAGCGGCGCAUGAAUUUGGUGAACAAGUAGGAGUAAUUUAAUGGGUUAGGGUUAUUGUUUGGUAUAUAUGGGCUUAACUUUUUUUUUUCUGGACGAAUAUAUGGGCCUAACUUAUAAAGUCUUACAAUUAUGUUUUAUUUUAAUUUUUAAUAAUUG